ACACCUGUACUAAUCAAAUAUCUGUGAAUCACCGCCAUUGAAAGACCCAAUGACAUGGCCUCCACAGCCGUCUGUGGCAAGGGAUUCUAUAUUGAGGUGUACAGAAGUGUAUACAAUCAGAAUGGGAAUAGAUGGGGCGAGUGCACAGAGUCUUUGACCCAGAGUAGGGGUAUCAAGGACAUAGGCUUAUGGUAGGGGGGAAAAGAUUUAAUAGGAAUCUGAGGGGUAACUUUUUCACACAAAGGGUGGUGGGUGUAUGGA